rnacentral:rRNA from 1 species
GCUACGGGAGGCAGCAGUGAGGAAUAUUGGUCAAUGGCCGAGAGGCUGAACCAGCCAAGUCGCGUGAGGGAUGACGGCCCUACGGGUUGUAAACCUCUUUUGUCGGGGAGCAAAGAGAGUCACGUGUGGCUCAUUGAGAGUAACCGAAGAAAAAGCAUCGGCUAACUCCGUGCCAGCAGCCGCGGUAAUACGGAGGAUGCGCGCGUUAUCCUGAUUUAUUGGGUUUACAGGGUGCGCAGGCGGCGGUGCAAGUCAGUGGUCAAAUUGCGGGGCUCAACCCCGUACUGCCGUUGAAACUGACUCCCUUGAGUGCGCGUGCAGUAUGCGGAAUGCGUGGUGUAGCGGUGACAUGCAUAGAUAUCACGCAGAACUCCUAUUGCGCAGGCAGCAUACCGGCGCGCAACUGACGCUCAUGCACGAAAGCGUGGGUAUCGAACAGGAUUAGAUACCCCAGUAGUC